UAGGGAAUCUUCGGCAAUGGACGAAAGUCUGACCGAGCAACGCCGCGUGAGUGAAGAAGGUUUUCGGAUCGUAAAACUCUGUUGUUAGAGAAGAACAAGGACGUUAGUAACUGAACGUCCCCUGACGGUAUCUAACCAGAAAGCCACGGCUAACUACGUGCCAGCAGCCGCGGUAAUACGUAGGUGGCAAGCGUUGUCCGGAUUUAUUGGGCGUAAAGCGAGCGCAGGCGGUUUCUUAAGUCUGAUGUGAAAGCCCCCGGCUCAACCGGGGAGGGUGAUUGGAAACUGGGAGACUGGAGUGCAGAAGAGGAGAGUGGAAUUCCAUGUGUAGCGGUGAAAUGCGUAGUUAUAUGGAGGAACACCAGUGGAGAAGGCGGCUCUCUGGUCUGUAACUGACGCUGAGGCUCGAAAGCGUGGGGAGCAAACAGG
rnacentral:rRNA from 1 species